AGUCUUAACUAAAAGGAUUCUAAGGUAGCUAAAUUCCUUGGCUGAUGUACCUUUUGCAUAAUGAGUCAGCGAGUAAAUAUUAAUAGCAAGAUAUAAAAGAAGUCCUAGUGAAAACGACUUAAUCAUUUUUAAUGGUUAUGGUAGAAGUUAUUAAUAUUUGACCCGAAACCUUAAGAUUUAGCCAUGGUCAGAUUUAUUGGAUCGAACAGGUGAGUGUUGCAAAACUCUCUGAUGAACUGUGGCUGGCGAAGUGAAAGACAAAUCUGUUGAGGAUAGCUGGUUCUCCACGAAAUAUAUCUUAGUAUAGACUGUAAAGAAAAAUUCUAAUCCUGUACAGCACUGAUAUUCAUAUCAUUUUUGAUUAAAUAGGGGGGUUUAUUAAACUCUACCUUUGAAUGUUAACCUCGGAAUUGGUUAGAAUGAUAUUACAGAUUCAGACUAUUUGUGAUAAGGUGGAUAGUCAAAAGGGAAACAGCCCUGAACACAUGUUAAAGUUCUUAAAUUAAUAUUAAGUGAAUGUAAGGAUGUUUUAAUUCGAUGACAGUUAUGAAGUGUAUCUGGAAGUCGUAAUCUAAUAAUGAAAGUGUAACAACUCAAUAACCUACUGGUAUUUUAUUUAGAAAUAAAUAAUUUACUGAAUUGAAGCGCCGAAAAUUCAUAGGAUCUUUAAAUAUUAUACUGAUACUGUGUUUGCAUAUAAAAAUUAUAUGUAAGGUAGUGGAGUGUUCUAUUAUAGGACGAAGGUUAGUUUUUAUAUUAACUGGACUUAAUAGAAGUAAUAAUGCUGAUAUGAGUAACGUAAUAACAGGUUAAACCCUGUACCUCUUAAGCGAUAGGUUUCUUAUUAAAUGUUAAACAGAAUAAGUUUAAACGGUCUCUAAGGUAAAUAAACUUAUGUUUAUGACUGAUGAGGAAUUUAUAUAAAAAGUUUUUCUUUUAAAACUCAGGAAAAUGUAUAAAUAUUCACCGUACUAAAAACCGACACAGGUUCGCGCAUAGAGUAUAUCAAGAGGUGAAUCAAUUACCCUUAAGGAACUCGGCAAAUUGCACUCGUACGUUAGACAAUAAGAGUGACCACACUAAGUGGUAUCAUACAAUCGGGACCUGCGACUGUUUCCCAAAAACACAGAUCUCUGCAACGAUUAAUUUCUUAGUAUAGGGAUCGAGUCCUGCUCAGUGCCAAGACGCUAAAUAGGUAACUCUAAUUAAUAGUUAGGGAAGACUUAUAACGUCUGGUAAUCAGCAGUCUUAACUAAAAGGAUUCUAAGGUAGCUAAAUUCCUUGGCCUUAAGGAACUCGGCAAAUUGCACUCGUACGUUAGACAAUAAGAGUGACCACACUAAGUGGUAUCAUACAAUCGGGACCUGCGACUGUUUCCCAAAAACACAGAUCUCUGCAACGAUUAAUUUCUUAGUAUAGGGAUCGAGUCCUGCUCAGUGCCAAGACGCUAAAUAGGUAACUCUAAUUAAUAGUUAGGGAAGUCUUAUAACGUCUGGUAAACAGCAGUCUUAACUAUAAGGAUUCUAAGGUAGCGAAAUUCCUUGGCCACUAAUUAUGGUCCUGCAUGAAUGGAAGCACGAUGGGUCCACUGUCUCAAGGGUAAGUUCAGUGAAAUUGGAGUGGUCGUGAAGAUACGAUCUAACUGCAGAUAGACGGGAAGACCCUAUGCAGCUUUACUGCAGCUAACUAUUGUAAUAGUAAAAAUUCCGUUCAGGGUAGAUGGUAGUGUAUAUUAAUUUAUACACGUUGAUGAGACACCAUCCUUAAUUUUUCACUAUUAUUCACCUAUUAUUGGAACAGUAGUUAGUGGGUAGUUUGCUUGGGACGAGCUUCUCUUAAAAGGUAUCAGAGAAAUGCAAAGUAAAACCAAGUUCGGAUGGAAACCGAAAGAUUGUUGUAAAUCUAAGUUAAUGUAAUAGUUUAAGUUUUGCUGACUGUGAGACAGAUAUGUCAAUCAGGUACGCAAGUAGGUUAUAGUGAUCCGCCAGUACCGUAUGAGAGGGCUGGCGCUAAUUAGAUAAAAGCUAGGUCUUAUAAAAUAGAAAGUUUUAUUCCCAUAUUUAUUAUCUAAUAGAUAAGACAAACCAUAAAACAAAUAUAAUUUUUUAAGCGUGGCCUUAAUCACUGAUUAAGAAUAUAAUUUUAUGCUAGAAUGUACUAAUAUUUAGAUAGCUAGUAAUAAUACUAAAAAUGUUAUAUGAAUAGUACAAAUUAGCAGUUAUAAUAAUUAAUUAAGAGAUUUUAUAUUAUAGCUUAUUUUUUAUAAGUAAGUAUGAAUAAAUCCAUGAAUAAUCUUUAAAUAGAUUUAUAAAUUGACGCUAGGGAUAACAGCUUUAUCCCCGGAGAGAGUCCAUAUUGUCCCGGGGGCUUGAGACCUCGAUGUCGACUCAUCCUAGCUCAGGUGUGCAUCAGCACCUAAGAGUUCAACUGUUCGUUGAUUAAAAGGGUACGCGAGUUGGGUUCAGUACGUCGUAAGACAGUACGUUCCCUAUCUUCUGCAGUAACAAUAUGUUAAUGUUAGAGCAUUAUCUAGUACGAAAGGACCGAUAAAUGAUCUAUCUCUGGUGACACAGUUGUAAUUUUUAUUGCAUUUGCUGUUAAGCUAAAUAGAUUUGUGAGAAGUUCUGAAUGCAUCUUAAGAACGAAACCAACUAACGGAAACAUACUAUUCUAAUAUAUUUAGAAUAAAAAGAGGAAGACUACCUCUAUAGGCAAAUAAUGUUAAUUCGUAAGAAUGUAGUUUGUUUGUACUAAUUUUUUAUAAAUGACUUA
rfam:Wallemia ichthyophaga EXF-994 unplaced genomic scaffold scaffold27, whole genome shotgun sequence.